AAGUCGUAACAAGGUUUCCGUAGGUGAACCUGCGGAAGGAUCAUUAACAAAAAAAAUUAACUCUUAAGUUAAAACCCCGCGCAAAAACAACGACUCUAAUUUAAUUCGCUUGACAAUGCUCUUCUUUUGCUAGAAAGGUUUGGUUGGUUUGGAGGGACUCAACGUCCUUCUUGCCUCUGAAACUUUUGGGCAGCUGGGACUUUGUAAAGUUUUCAAAACCCCCAAUCUUGUCUAUUUACUUUGUUUGAAAUUAUUUUUCUUUCUCUUUCUUCGGAAAGUAGGUCGAAAAACAAAUUACGAAAACUUAAUUGAACAACUCUUAGCAACGGAUAUCUUGGUUCUC
rnacentral:misc_RNA from 1 species